AGUUUGAUCCUGGCUCAGGAUGAACGCUAGCCACAGGCCUAACACAUGCAAGUCGAGGGGCAUCGGGGCGAGGAGCAAUCCUUGCCGCCGGCGACCGGCGCACGGGUGAGUAACGCGUAUGCGACCUGCCCGUUGCAGGGGGAUAAUCGGGAGAAAUCCCGUCUAAUACCGCGUAACGCCGCGGGGCUGCAUGGCCCUGCGGCCAAAGGAAGCGAUUCCGGCAACGGAUGGGCAUGCGUGACAUUAGCUAGUUGGCGGGGCAACGGCCCACCAAGGCGACGAUGUCUAGGGGUUCUGAGAGGAAGGUCCCCCACACUGGUACUGAGACACGGACCAGACUCCUACGGGAGGCAGCAGUGAGGAAUAUUGGUCAAUGGGCGCGAGCCUGAACCAGCCAAGUCGCGUGAGGGAUGACGGCCCUACGGGUUGUAAACCUCUUUUGUCGGGGAGCAAAUUCCGCCACGCGUGGCGGAGUCGAGAGUACCCGAAGAAAAAGCAUCGGCUAACUCCGUGCCAGCAGCCGCGGUAAUACGGAGGAUGCGAGCGUUAUCCGGAUUUAUUGGGUUUAAAGGGUGCGUAGGCGGACUGUCAAGUCAGCGGUAAAAUACGGGGGCUCAACCUCCGCCCGCCGUUGAAACUGACGGUCUUGAGUGGGCGAGAAGUAUGCGGAAUGCGUGGUGUAGCGGUGAAAUGCAUAGAUAUCACGCAGAACUCCGAUUGCGAAGGCAGCAUACCGGCGCCCAACUGACGCUGAAGCACGAAAGCGUGGGUAUCGAACAGGAUUAGAUACCCUGGUAGUCCACGCAGUAAACGAUGAAUACUAGCUGUCCGGGGCGAAUGGGCCCUGGGUGGCACAGCGAAAGCGUUAAGUAUUCCACCUGGGGAGUACGCCGGCAACGGUGAAACUCAAAGGAAUUGACGGGGGCCCGCACAAGCGGAGGAACAUGUGGUUUAAUUCGAUGAUACGCGAGGAACCUUACCCGGGCUCAAACGACACAGGAACGGUCCUGAAAGGGGUCGGCUCUACGGAGCCUGUGUCGAGGUGCUGCAUGGUUGUCGUCAGCUCGUGCCGUGAGGUGACGGCUUAAGUGCCAUAACGAGCGCAACCCCCAUCGACAGUUGCUAACAGGUCAAGUUAGGACUCUGUCGAGACUGCCGGCGCAAGCUGCGAGGAAGGCGGGGAUGACGUCAAAUCAGCACGGCCCUUACGUCCGGGGCGACACACGUGUUACAAUGGCAGGUACAGCGGGAAGCCACCUGGCGACAGGGAGCGGAACCCGAAAGCCUGUCUCAGUUCGGAUUGGAGUCUGCAACCCGACUCCAUGAAGCUGGAUUCGCUAGUAAUCGCGCAUCAGCCACGGCGCGGUGAAUACGUUCCCGGGCCUUGUACACACCGCCCGUCAAGCCAUGGAAGCCGGGGGUGCCUGAAGUGCGCUGCCGCAAGGAGCGCCCUAGGGUAAAACCGGUGACUGGGGCUAAGUCGUAACAAGGUACCC
rnacentral:rRNA from 1 species